rnacentral:lncRNA from 1 species
GUGGAAUCUCAAAACUCCAUGAUGCAGUACUUCCGAACUAUAGGCGAGAUGUGCUCGAGCUGAUGGAGAGAUUGAUCGCAGGAGGCAAAGGAGGUGGAGCCCCAUGAGAAGUGGAUGCACUAGCCCAUCUAGCUCUCUCCCUUUCAUGGGUUAAGUACUUCUGACGGGCAUCCUUCGCAAUGGUAUUCCGCUCUCUCACCCAUCUCUUAAUUAAUUCCAAGGGUGGUAGGUUUAAAGAUGACGACA